GAAUGCAGUACAGUUCAUCUUCCAUUAGUAUGAAUUUUGCUUGCUACUGGCAUAUGCUCUGAAAGAUGGAUAAAUAUUAAUGAUUUUAAAGAGAAUGGGAGGCGAAUUAGAAAUCUGAAAGAGCCUUGUUCAUGGAGGAGGGUUGUUUUCUUUUACCAGCCAUGUCGUGUCAAAUGAGAAGGAAGGCUUGGGUGGUUAGACUGCUGCAGUCUUAUUGACCCAUUCACAGCCAUAUUUCUCUCAUAUAGCAUUCAUCUCCUUAGACUAGGCCAUAUCCUUUAAUUUUAGGCCUGCAGUACAGUUCAUCUCCAUUACUAUGAAUUUUGCGUACUACUCCAUCUGCUGGUAUGGAUUUUGUUGGUUUAAGUUUGGGAAUAGAUUUAUGAAUGUUGUUGUAUUGGUUUAGAUGUUAGA